AUGGCUGUCGUCAGCUCGUGUCGUGAGAUGUUGGGUUAAGUCCCGCAACGAGCGCAACCCCUACCCUUAAUUGCCAUCGGGUUAUGCCGGGCACUUUAGGGGGACUGCCGGUGACAAGCCGGAGGAGGGUGGGGAUGACGUCAAGUCCUCAUGGCCUUUAUGACCAGGGCUACACACGUGUUACAAUGGAAGUUACAGAGGGAAGCUAAGCCGCGAGGCCAUGCCAAUCCCAGAAAAACUUUCUCAGUUCGGAUCGCAGUCUGCAACUCGACUGCGUGAAGCUGGAAUCGCUAGUAAUCGCGGAUCAGCACGCCGCGGUGAAUACGUUCCCGGGCCUUGUACACACCGCCCGUCACACCAUGGGAGCCGACAAGGGCAGAAGUCGCCGAGCUAACCUUCGGGAAGCAGGCGCCCAAGCUGUUGUUGACGACUGGGGUGAAGUCGUAACAAGGUAGCCGUAGGAGAACCUGCGGCUGGAUCACCUCCUUUCUAAGGACGCCAGAGAUGCUUUAUGCUUAUCUCUGGAUAGUCAAAGUCGAAACAGACUCUCUUCUCUUCUCUCCCUUUUCUCCUGUAAAUUCUAAGUUAUGAAUUUAGAGCAACGAAGGAAUUAGAUUCGUUACUGUGGACUCCUAAUUUCAAGAGGGGCCUGUAGCUCAGCUUGGUUAGAGCGCAUCCCUGAUAAGGAUGAGGCCGGUGGUUCAAGUCCACCCAGGCCCACCAGCUCAUUUUUGAUAUGGAUUUGGAUUUAGCGACUAUGAUGGUAGCAAAUCUAAGGUAUGGUAAUCCAAAUCAGAUAUUAAAGAUCGGGGGAUUAGCUCAGCUGGUAGAGCGCCUGCUUUGCAAGCAGGAGGUCAGCGGUUCGAACCCGCUAUCCUCCACCAAAUUAAUGAACAGUAAAAAAGGUGGUGCAGCUUAAGCAGAAGAUAAGCUUCAGCAAUUAUUUAAUAAUUUCUGAAUUUUAUUUUUUAAUAUCUUAGACAAUUGAAUCGGAGGUUUUGGAGACACAAGAUCAAAUGUGAGGGUCUCCAAGGGUUGACGAUCUUGACUGUUAAAGUCAGGUAGUAAGGGCGCAGGGCGGAUGCCUUGGCUCUGGGAAGCGAAGAAGGACGUGGCUAGCUGCGAUAAGCCUCGGGGAAGAGCAAACAUCUUUUGAUCCGGGGAUUUCCGAAUGGGGAAACCCGG
rnacentral:sRNA from 1 species